CACCUUCCUCUGAGCCUUCCAGCAUAUCACAUCUUUUCUACAUCUGCCUUCUAGACUAUGAGCUUACCAGGACAUGUUCUUGACGGCCAAGUCUUAUGCAGCUCUGAGUAAAAUUUGAUAUUUUCCUUAAUAACAACAACAACAACAAUAAUACACUGGAAAUGGAACUGGUAAGCCUGCUGUUACUAUAUUGCACCAAACACUGUCUGCUUUCUCCAUAUCUUCUUUUCAACACAAUGCUUUGGAUAAAUAGACUCAUAAAUCACACACUUCCCUGUUCCCUGCAAAAUUGUUUCAGUGGCAGCAGAAAAAUGUAUUCAAGGAAAGUCAAAUGCCAUGCUAGAAUUUAAAUGAAGGUAAAUUCCAAACAGGUCUUUACACAUGUGUUACAUAAUUUAACAGUGCUAUAAUUAAUUCAGGUCACUUAGUUUUACAAGGACUCCUUUAGCAAUGUAAUUAAACCUAUCAGUGACCAAAUCUGGUCUGACUUCAGCAUUAGAAUGGUAGUUGGAUACAGUAUCAGCAGGUGUAAAGGGGAAGGAGAGGUUGAACUAGAGACAGCUGGUCAAUAUUAGAGUGAACUGGAGAUUCAUCAUACACCUCCUUAAUGAAUAUGCAUUUAAUUUUUGUUCCACUGUGUAUUCUUCACUUGUCUGAUGCUGAAUUAUAUUGUUUUUCUAUGUGGUUUUUUUAUAGCGUGAGCCCCAAGAGCCAUAAUUUAUUGACAUUACUUCAUCAAUCUUUAAAAAGCCAAGAGAGACUGACUUAAUAAGAAAGAAGCACUUCCCUUUUACUUGGAUUUGUUUGAAAUCAGUUCUUCACCCUGUGGGUGACUUUGAAAGAGAAAAUCCCAGACCUCCUCACAACUUAACCAUCUUCUGAGCUCCUACUUCCCCAUGCCUGGACUCCUACCCAGAAUACAUCUCAUGAGAUGUAACCCUGGUAGUUCAGCACGACAAGAAACCAUGGUUAAUUAAAGAAGAGGUAAUCUGGUCAAGGAGCUUGAUUCAUGGAGAAGGGAGGCCUUAGGCACUUGAUCUACAACCCUCCUGAGGCCUGGUGGUUUUUCCAUCCAGCUUGCAGCCAAAAAUGUAUUGGCCCUGAUCUUUCAUCAAAAGACACAAUAUUCAGUGACAGCCCCUCACAUUUUUUAACCAACGUAAUUAUAAGCCAUAGGGACCUCAUUAUUUAAUAGCAUGCCCUUCCAGUACUACUCAGCACACUUCCUACUAUAAAACAUUAGUGAAGACAGCAUGCAUAUUUACACCCCAGCUGAACAAGGCACAGGAUUAUGGGCCUCAUUUUUUGAGCAAGCGAGUCGGUGACAGGACCGCUUAUGGAUUCAAGUGCCUGACGGAAUCUGGGCCUAGAAGAACACGUGCCUUUAUUUUCAUUAAUGCCGUGUGUCCCUGCAGUGUCAUGGACUUGGUUAAGUUAAUAUGCUCAGAUGCCCAUGGGAAGUGAACUGUGACCUGUGUUACAGAGAAAGAGAGAGAGAAAAAAAGUCCUUGCUGGACUGACCUGGAGGGAAAUUCCUUCCUGACCUCAUAUCUGGUGAUCAGUCGGUUUAACCCCGAGCAUGCGAGUGAAAACAUAACAAGCAGCACCUGAAAGAUUUCUCAGUUCCACUCCCUGCUAAAGGGGAGAUACUCACUCACACCAAGCAACUAAUAGGACUUUCCAUUUUCUAUUUAUUCAAGAAAGCAAUGAUUAAAAACAACUUAAGCAAUGUCAGAUCUACGAGGUGCAUUGUAUAAUACAAAUACCCCCUUGUAUAGUAACCUGAUUAUAGCCAGAGAUAAGUGACCCCAUCGUGGUCCUGGGACUUGUUUAGGGUUCUCAGCAAGUAUAAGAAGAUUAACGUAUACAUCUGUAUUUCUGUUGGAAUAAGCAGCUUAGACAAUAUUACUGAGGGUCACUCCAUAUAAUAACUCUGUAAUUAUAUAUAGGUCUCUUGUGAGCAAUGAAGUAGGCUAAGUGUUUCCAGACAACAGCUCAGGUCCUUAUUUACAACAAACUCAUCCCCUGCCUGAGGCUACAACUAGUCCAUUGGUGGCCAACCUUUUUGGCAGGUGUGACACAAGUUAAGCCCCCCUCCAUUUCUAGAGUGCCUCUCUGAUUCCUGUCCCACUGCCUCCUGCAAGGUGUACCUGAUAAAGUCUGUGCUUCAACUUAUCCCAACACUAGUCAAAAUUCAAAACUUCUGUUCCCUGAGAAAGUCUGACAUAUUGAAAUUUCCUGCAAGCCAGUGUUUCUGGGCAAAAAUCAUUCUCGGUCAAUCAAAAUGUUCUGUUUUGAUAGAACUGAAAGACCUCAUGCUGAUUUUGACUUUUUAAAAUUGCA